GACUGUAUAGUUGACUUAUUGCAUAAUAGUAUAAGAAAAAAGACCAAAACUCAAAAACUUAACUUUGACCACUGAACCAUGAAAAUGAGGUCAAAGUCAGAUGACACCUGCCAGUUGGACAUGUACACCUUACAAUCAUUCCAUACACCAAAUAUAGUAGACCUAUUGGAUAAAGUAUAAGAAAAACGGACCAAAACACAAAAACUUAACUAUAACCACUGAACCAUGAAAAUGAGGUCAAGGUCAGAUGACACCUGCCAGUUGGACAUGUACACCUUACAAUCAUUCCAUACACCAAAUAUAAUAGACCUAUUGCAUACAGUAUAAGAAAAACAGACCAAAACACAAAAACUUAACUAUAACCACUGAACCAUGAAAAUGAGGUCAAGGUCAGAUGACACCUGCCAGUUGGACAUGUACACCUUACAGUCCUUCCAUACACCAAAUAUACUAGACCUAUUGCUUAUAGUAUCUGAGAUAUGGACUUGACCACCAAAACUUAACCUUGUUCACUGAUCCAUGAAAUGAGGUCGAGGUCAAGGGAAAACUGUCUGACAGGCAUGAGGACCUUGCAAGGUACGCACAUACUAAAUAUAGUUAUCCUAUUACUUAUAAUAAGAGAGAAUUUAACAUUACAAAAAAUCUGAACUUUUUUUUCAAGUAGUCACUGAACCAUGAAAAUGAGGUCAAGGAAAUUGGACAUGUGACUGACGGAAACUUCGUAACAUGAGGCAUCCAUAUACAAAGUAUGAAGCAUCCAGGUCUUCCACCUUCUAAAAUAUUAAGCUUUUAAGAAGUUAGCUAACGCCGCCGCGUAGCCGCCGCCGGAUCACUAUCCCUAUGUCGAGCUUUCUGCGACAAAAGUCGCAGGCUCGACAAAAACUAUUCAUAAGGAAAAGGUUAAAGUAGUCAAAACAUAAUCUUAUUAUUUCAAUGCACUACAUAAUCUGUUUCUCUAAUUCUUAGCCAAUUUAUCCUUUUCCUGACCUAUUGAUUAUUUUUAUUUAUAGAACGUGUGGUUCGUUUGAUCUAAGUUCUUCAUUGGUCAAAAUUGAAUAGUGCCAUCAAAUUUUUUUGCUUUUCUCCGAAUUUUCCUAUUGUGACGUCAUGAAAAGAGACAACCAUGCCUGAUGAGGUUUGUCUGCAUAUUG